GCGAAGGCGGUUUACCAGCGCUGCACUGACGCUCAGUCACGAAAGCGUGGGGAGCAAAUAGGAUUAGAUACCCUAGUAGUCCACGCCGUAAACGAUGAUGACUAACUAUUCGAGUGAUCGAGUGGUGAAGCUAACGCAUUAAGUCAUCCGCCUGGGAAGUACGGUCGCAAGACUGAAACUUAAAGGAAUUGACGGGACCCCGCACAAGUAGUGGAGCAUGUGGUUUAAUUCGAAGCUACGCGGAAAACCUUACCAGAACUUGACAUGGAGACUACCCCCCGGGCAACGCCGGGGAACUACUACUCCACAGGUGGUGCAUGGUUGUCGUCAGCUCGUGUCGUGAGAUGUUAGGUUAAGUCCUGCAACGAGCGCAACCCUUGUCGCUAGUUACCAUCAUUCAGUUGGGGACUCUAGCGAGACUGCCGAUGCAAAUCGGAGGAAGGUGGGGAUGACGUCAAAUCAGCAUGCCCUUUAUGUCCUGGGCAACACACGUGCUACAAUGGCCGUUACAAAGAGACGCGAUGCCGCGAGGCGGAGCAAAUCUCAAAAAGGCGGUCUCAGUUCAGAUUGGAGUCUGCAAUUCGACUCCAUGAAGGCGGAA
rnacentral:rRNA from 1 species